AAGGGCUGAUCGCGCUCGGCCGAUCCUCCCACCCUUUGUGUACCUACCUCUGUUGCUUUGGCGGGCCGCGGUCCUCCGCGGCCGCCCCCCUCCCCGGGGGGGUGGCCAGCGCCCGCCAGAGGACCAUCAAACUCCAGUCAGUAAACGAUGCAGUCUGAAAAACAUUUAAUAAACUAAAACUUUCAACAACGGAUCUCUUGGUUCUGGCAUCGAUGAAGAACGCAGCGAAAUGCGAUAAGUAAUGUGAAUUGCAGAAUUCAGUGAAUCAUCGAAUCUUUGAACGCACAUUGCGCCCUUUGGUAUUCCGAAGGGCAUGCCUGUUCGAGCGUCAUUACAACCCUCAAGCUCUGCUUGGUAUUGGGCACCGUCCUUUGCGGGCGCGCCUCAAAGACCUCGGCGGUGGCGUCUUGCCUCAAGCGUAGUAGAACAUACAUCUCGCUUCGGAGCGCAGGGCGUCGCCCGCCAGACGAACCUUCUGAACUUUUCUCAAGGUUGACCUCGGAUCAGGUAGGGAUACCCGCUGAACUUAAGCAUAUCAAUAAGCGGAAGA
rnacentral:rRNA from 1 species